AGUCCUUCUUGUCUCAUAAGAGCUUCUGUGAUCGCAUUGGCAGAAUACACCUGAGUCCAUGAUGUCACGGCCUCACAGACAGCAAGCAGCGAUCGGUACAACUAAGGAUAGCAGAACUGGACCUCACUGUGUGCUUCCUUAACCGUCUACCUACCACCAUUUUAAUGAGGUUUCUGCAACAAAACUGUCUACAUUUCUAAGCACUUCUCCCUUUG